ensembl:snRNA U7 U7 small nuclear RNA
UAGAACAUUUGCUCUAUUAGUAUUUCUCCAGUAGGUUUACUCAAGGAGGAAGCCUAU